rnacentral:lncRNA from 1 species
UUAAAUCUUCGGAUUUAAUUUAGAUAUUAGAUGAGCAAACGAAUUAAAUCUACAGAUUUAAUUUAGAUUUAUUUUACAGUCCAUCGAGGCUAGCAAGCGAGAAAUCAUAUACUACAUUAGUGAGAAUCCAAGACUAGUAUUUCAUUAAAGGCGUUACUAUAUUACAAGUUUAGAAUUCCCAAAAGACAAGAGCUUUACUUUAAUCAUAUCCCACAUUACUACACAUCAAAUGCAACACAUUCUUUUGUUUAACACCAUCAGCCAACAAGGAAGCAAAGGAAAAAAAAAAAAGAGAAAGGAGGGGGCGAGGCGUGUGGCUGAAACAGCCCAGCUGCCAGCCGCCCAACUCCACCAAUUCCCUUCUCCCUACACCCUACCACCUCCUUAGCAUGCUCCAGCAGCCCCAACUCCUCCAAUCACCCCCACUCUACCCCUCUUCCUAUUCUCUAGCAUACUCAAGUAUGCAGCCAAC